AUGUUGUAUGAAAGGAGAGAAGGUUAGCACUCCCCUUGGCAAGGAUGGAAGAGGCCCUCGGGCCUGACAACACACAUACGGUUAAGGCACUGCCACCUACUUUGGGGCAUCUAACCACUGUUUUUA
rnacentral:ncRNA from 1 species